rnacentral:lncRNA from 1 species
CUUAUUGUGUGGCUCAGAAACAACAAGAAUUUCCAAUUGCCCCAUGCACCUGGAAAAGCAUGUGGAGGUAGUAACAAUAAUGUAUCCACUCUUGUCCCACCCAUCACAUAACCUAUGUUUUUCUGAUCACUUGGAAUGAAUGUUGAUUUUGAGUAUAUAUUUGUCCAAUACAAAGCAUAAUAUUAAAUAUUUUAUGUUUAAAAAAGAUCACAAAUCAUAAGCAAACAUAGGUGCAUAAUCAGCUGAGCUGGUGGAUUGAACUCGUUGGUGCGUUACUUUGAGAGCACAGGCAGGGUGGUGAAUAGGGGGAGAAAGGCACGAAAAUAUCAGACGCACCAAAUCCAAUAUCAACUUUAUCGAUUUCUACCCAACAGAGGCACUAGCAGGAAAGGAAGAGAGAGAAAGGGGAGAUAGUCAUUCCCCCCACAAACACAAACAGCAACAAAUAGCUUCUGCAGGCUUUAUACAGGGAGACUUGCUUUUCUAUAUUUGGUACAUGUAGUUAGAUAUUAGGAGGUCCUGUUGCUUUUCAAUCCUUUUCAUCUUCAACUCAACACCUAAUUUUGAAUUUUAAAAUUUUCAGCUCUGAUUAUUUUAGGUUUUUUUCUUGUUUUAACUUAUGGAUUUAUGAGUUUGAGGAUUGUGUUUUUAGGUCAAAUCAUCUUAGUUCAGUCAUUUUUGGUAAGUGUGAGUUUUCUUUUUUAUCAGUUUGGACAAAUCUGGUUUAUUCACUUCUUCAAACCUUUUUCUUUCUUCUUGUGAUAAAUCAGGUUAGAAAUAGGUUUAAAUUCGGGUUACUGGAGUUAAUUAAAUUUUGUGUUUGGGUCAAAAGUGUCCUACCCACAUACAUGGAUAAUAUGUAUUUUAAUAAUAUUCAUGUAUUUUGUGGUAUCAUAUUUUUUUAGAUAAAUUUUGAUACAAAAAUAAAAGAGAGGAAUUCGGUGAUUUUAUAUUUUUUCCGUAAUUUUUUUAGAGAAUUAAUAUUUUAGCAAUCAAUUUAUUAUAUUUAAUGUUAAUUAAUGUACA